AUGUGGGAGUGGAUCAGUCAGACAACUUUGCUGCCAGAUCAGGACAAUAGAAUCUCCUGGAACCUGACCAUAAAUGGAGCCUAGUCUUCUACAUCGGCCUUUGUAACAUAGUUCUAUGGCUCACACCCGAGAUUUGACUCUUCAAAGGUUUGGUCUGCUCAUGCGAAGCCCAAGUGCAAAUUCUUCGUGUGGCUGGUCAUGCAUGGUAGAAUUAUCACUGCAGACAUGCUAGCUAUAUGA
rnacentral:rRNA from 1 species